GACAGCAGUCGCCGCGGUAAUACAGAGGGUGCAAGCGUUAAUCGGAAUUACUGGGCGUAAAGCGCGCGUAGGUGGUUUGUUAAGUUGGAUGUGAAAGCCCCGGGCUCAACCUGGGAACUGCAUCCAAAACUGGCAAGCUAGAGUACGGUAGAGGGUGGUGGAAUUUCCUGUGUAGCGGUGAAAUGCGUAGAUAUAGGAAGGAACACCAGUGGCGAAGGCGACCACCUGGACUGAUACUGACACUGAGGUGCGAAAGCGUGGGGAGCAAACAGGAUUAGAUACCCCCGUAGUCCCUGUCCUUAUACA
rnacentral:rRNA from 1 species